rnacentral:rRNA from 1 species
AUGAACGCUAGCUACAGGCUUAACACAUGCAAGUCGAGGGGCAGCAUGGUCUUAGCUUGCUAAGGCCGAUGGCGACCGGCGCACGGGUGAGUAACACGUAUCCAACCUGCCGUCUACUCUUGGACAGCCUUCUGAAAGGAAGAUUAAUACAAGAUGGCAUCAUGAGUCCGCAUGUUCACAUGAUUAAAGGUAUUCCGGUAGACGAUGGGGAUGCGUUCCAUUAGAUAGUAGGCGGGGUAACGGCCCACCUAGUCUUCGAUGGAUAGGGGUUCUGAGAGGAAGGUCCCCCACAUUGGAACUGAGACACGGUCCAAACUCCUACGGGAGGCAGCAGUGAGGAAUAUUGGUCAAUGGGCGAGAGCCUGAACCAGCCAAGUAGCGUGAAGGAUGACUGCCCUAUGGGUUGUAAACUUCUUUUAUAAAGGAAUAAAGUCGGGUAUGGAUACCCGUUUGCAUGUACUUUAUGAAUAAGGAUCGGCUAACUCCGUGCCAGCAGCCGCGGUAAUACGGAGGAUCCGAGCGUUAUCCGGAUUUAUUGGGUUUAAAGGGAGCGUAGAUGGAUGUUUAAGUCAGUUGUGAAAGUUUGCGGCUCAACCGUAAAAUUGCAGUUGAUACUGGAUAUCUUGAGUGCAGUUGAGGCAGGCGGAAUUCGUGGUGUAGCGGUGAAAUGCUUAGAUAUCACGAAGAACUCCGAUUGCGAAGGCAGCCUGCUAAGCUGCAACUGACAUUGAGGCUCGAAAGUGUGGGUAUCAAACAGGAUUAGAUACCCUGGUAGUCCACACGGUAAACGAUGUAUACUCGCUGUUUGCGAUAUACUGCAAGCGGCCAAGCGAAAGCGUUAAGUAUUCCACCUGGGGAGUACGCCGGCAACGGUGAAACUCAAAGGAAUUGACGGGGGCCCGCACAAGCGGAGGAACAUGUGGUUUAAUUCGAUGAUACGCGAGGAACCUUACCCGGGCUUAAAUUGCAGAUGAAUUACGGUGAAAGCCGUAAGCCGCAAGGCAUCUGUGAAGGUGCUGCAUGGUUGUCGUCAGCUCGUGCCGUGAGGUGUCGGCUUAAGUGCCAUAACGAGCGCAACCCUUGUUGUCAGUUACUAACAGGUUCCGCUGAGGACUCUGACAAGACUGCCAUCGUAAGAUGUGAGGAAGGUGGGGAUGACGUCAAAUCAGCACGGCCCUUACGUCCGGGGCUACACACGUGUUACAAUGGGGGGUACAGAGGGCCGCUACCACGCGAGUGGAUGCCAAUCCCAAAAACCUCUCUCAGUUCGGACUGGAGUCUGCAACCCGACUCCACGAAGCUGGAUUCGCUAGUAAUCGCGCAUCAGCCACGGCGCGGUGAAUACGUUCCCGGGCCUUGUACACACCGCCCGUCAAGCCAUGGGAGCCGGGGGUACCUGAAGUGCGUAACCGCGAGGAGCGCCCUAGGGUAAAACUGGUGACUGGGGCU